rnacentral:rRNA from 1 species
GAUGAACGCUGGCGGCGUGCUUAACACAUGCAAGUCGAACGAAGCACUUUAUUUGAUUUCCUUCGGGACUGAUUAUUUUGUGACUGAGUGGCGGACGGGUGAGUAACGCGUGGGUAACCUGCCUUGUACAGGGGGAUAACAGUUGGAAACGGCUGCUAAUACCGCAUAAGCGCACAGCAUCGCAUGAUGCAGUGUGAAAAACUCCGGUGGUAUAAGAUGGACCCGCGUUGGAUUAGCUAGUUGGUGAGGUAACGGCCCACCAAGGCGACGAUCCAUAGCCGACCUGAGAGGGUGACCGGCCACAUUGGGACCGAGACACGGCCCAAACUCCUACGGGAGGCAGCAGUGGGGAAUAUUGCACAAUGGGCGAAAGCCUGAUGCAGCGACGCCGCGUGAGCGAAGAAGUAUUUCGGUAUGUAAAGCUCUAUCAGCAGGGAAGAUAAUGACGGUACCUGACUAAGAAGCACCGGCUAAAUACGUGCCAGCAGCCGCCGUAAAAC